UACGUAGGUGGCAAGCGUUGUCCGGAUUUACUGGGCGUAAAGAGCGCGCAGGCGGUCGUUCAAGUCGCGUGUGAAAGCCCCCGGCUCAACUGGGGAGGGUCACGCGAUACUGAUCGACUGGAAGGCAGGAGAGGGUAGUGGAAUUCCACGUGUAGCGGUGAAAUGCGUAGAGAUGUGGAGGAACACCAGUGGCGAAGGCGACUCUUUGGUCUGUAACUGACGCUGAGGCGCGAAAGCGUGGGGAGCAAACAGG
rnacentral:rRNA from 1 species